UACGGGGGGGGCAAGCGUUGUUCGGAAUUACUGGGCGUAAAGGGCGCGUAGGCGGCCUGCUAAGUCGGACGUGAAAUCCCUCGGCUCAACCGGGGAAUGGCAUUGGAUACUGGCGACCUAGAGUGCGGUAGAGGGGUGUGGAAUUCCCGGUGUAGCAGUGAAAUGCGUAGAUAUCGGGAGGAACAUCUGUGGCGAAGGCGACACCCUGGACCAGCACUGACACUGAGGCACGAAAGCGUGGGGAGCAAACAGG
rnacentral:rRNA from 1 species